AUGAUGGGCUUCAAGGAGAGCAAGGGUGGGGGCAGAGACCUCAUUACCCCCACAAAGAGGGCGGUAUUGCCUCAUCCACCACUGUUUGUCUUACACAGGCCCUGGCUGCCAGAAGUGUCUGCGCGGCAGGUAUUUGCUGAAAGCCUGGAAAAAAAAGUUGGAAGAGAAGCGGUAAGUUUCUCAGGGCUUCUACUGAGACUUGUCAGUUGUCUACUCACCUGCUCUCCUGGCCCACGACACAAAGUUCUGCAGCUCCAGGGACCCGGGAAUCCCAGCCCUGCGCAUGGCAGCUCCCUCCUUCCUGCUCCCGUGGAAAGAUUUGCUUCUACCUUCAGGGCUCAAAACCCUGUGCUCUCUUCUUCCUCCCUUCCCCCACACUGGGAGCCUCCUCUUUGCCUGCUGACUACAAGAAAACAAAGAUCGUUUUUGGGGAAUUGGUGGAUAACUCAGAAGGAGGAGUCCCCUACCUCCCUGACUCAGCAUCGUUUGCUGUUUGCUAACGAACUUUUGGAUGCUGUGGCAUUGCUUCCUGGGAAGAUAAGCCAUGACCCUUACCGCAAGAGGCAAGUCUGGAUGGGCCUGGGUGCUCAGGGCCUUUUUCACCCAUACCACUGGGGUGUCCAAGGGACAAGGCGUGUGUGGAUUAUUACGGAGUAAACAGUGCUUUAUGCUUCAUCAGUAUAAUCACAUUCAGAAUCACAAAAUGUGCAUGCUAUCAGGAUCAUAAGCCCUCUCCUCUCUUUUUAAAAAGUAAGUGGGAAAAUAGUAAUCGUGUAAGCUUGUGGGGCGUGUGCUAUGGCGAGGUGUGCAUGUGCUUGCGGGUGCCUUAGCGGAGCCACCUCCUCACAUGAGUAUUGUGUGUGUGUGUUGAGAACGUUUAAAAUCUACUCUUUUAGCAAUUUAAAAAUGUGUAAUACAUUUUUAUUCGCUAAGAUUACCUGUCUGUGCACUAGGUCAGUGAAACCCAUUCCUCCCGCUUAACUGUUGACUUUGUACCUUUUGACCAACAGCUCCCCUUUCCGCCUCCGCCGCCUCAGCCCAGCCCCUGCUAACCGCCAUUCUCCUCCAUUCUGUGAGUUCAGUCUGUUUAGAUUGCACGUGUAAUGAGAUCAUGUGAUACUUGUCUUUCUGUGUCUGGCUUAUUUCACGGUGAAUAAGGAAAAUGUGGCCUAUAUACAUGAUGGUUUCUAUUUGCAGCAACAUGGAUGAAGCGGGAAAGCAUUACCUUCGUGAAUGAACCCAUUCCCCCAUCCCCACUCUCUCCAAGGGACAGCAGCCUGUGUGAUUUAAAUGGUUCCCACGCUGUCCCUAUCCCCUGGGGCACUGGAUGAACUUGAUUAAAGCUAAGGAUUAGACUUGGUCAUCUCACUGUAAAGCAUGCAUUCCUAAGGAGAUAAGGAGAGACCUCAGACAGCUUGGCUCUAGGCUAUAGAGAGCCACCGAUGUGCCAGCUGGCGGAGACAGAGCUGUCUGUUAGAAAUGGUGCCUUGGUGAUGGCUGCAGACAUCGUCAUGGCCUUUCUCCCUCCCUCGUGACUUUUUCUUCUUGGAAGUAACACACUGGUGUCUUCCUUCCUCCCCAGGGAGUCAGGCUGAGUUAUUAGGCUGGGGAGUGUUGGGAAGGAAUUGGGCCUGCCUGACUCGGCCCUUCCUGCCUGUACUUUGGUGGUGUGCUUCUCUGCCAGAGCGUCUGGUGAGCCUAGCGCACCCUGUGCCUGGGUGAGGGCUGUAGUUUCUCUGUCAUUUUUUUGGGGAGAGGGGUAAGAGAUCACAUGAGAUCUGCCUUCUCAACAAUUUUUUCCAGUUUUAUUGAGAUAUAAUUGACAAAUAAGAAUUGUAUGUGAAAUAAUACUACAUAUGUGCACACAGAAAAUGGUGGGGCAAAAAGUACACAACUGGAGAAUGAGGGUAAAGAGAGUGUAGGAGCUCUUUGUCCUAAAUCUGCAACUUUUCGGUAAGUUUAAGACAAUUUACCUCUAUACCCUUUAGCUUCAUUCACCCACCGUGUGCAUUCCAGCCCAGCAUCACUUUCCGUGUGCGUAGCUAAUGUCAUUUUUUUUCUGAUGCACUUGAGAGAGAGUUGGAGUCCUCAUGCUAUUUAUUCCUAAAUAUUUCACAAUAUGGCCUGAGAGCAAGAGCCCUUCCUAUCACAUAGUCACAGUAUAAUGAUCAAAACUCAGGAAACUUAGUGUUAAUACUAUCAUUUAAUCAUUCUUUGUCAGUUUUCUCAGAGAUGCCAAUGAUCAGCCUUUCUCCCCCGUCUGGGAGCCCUGCGUGCCUGGAGUAUUACCUUUGCUUGCCGUGCGGCUCUGUCCAUGUUGCCUCUGGAGUGUGCCUUCUCAGCCUUCACUGUCCUUCGUUGCCUGGACACUUCUGAAGAGAGCAGGCCAGCAGUUUGGUCAGUGGCCCACCUGAGCGGACUGACGGGAUGUGCCCAUGGUAGGGACAUCCCAAAGCCCAGCACAUGGGGGCGGGGGCGGCUCAGCAGGACAGUGCUGUUGACCACGUUACGUGGCUGUGUAUGGGAAUGUUGGAUGUCUACCUGCUUCUGGUCCUCCCUGUUCUAAAAGCAAACCCCAGACCUGGAAGGGGAGGUGGGAGAAAGCACUGCUGGUACUCACGGGUCCCUGAACAAAGUCUUUGCCCUUCCCCCACCUCUCCAGAAAGCCCCUCUCCGGAGUCUGCCCUCUGACUUAGAUUGAAUUCUUCUUCUAAGUACUUCUGAAAUAGAAAUCCCUCUGAUGGCCACAGUGAAACUCCAUUUCUCUGCACCUCCACACCAGCUCAUCUGGGGCUAGUCCCUGCCCUUGGUUGGUUUUGACAAACAGAAUCUCUCUCUAUCACUAUUCACAGUUCAUACUACAGAGGGCUGAGUCUUCUGAAGAUCUCUGCAGAGAAUUACAAAUAUUCCAACUGCUAUUUGCUGCCACAGAGGGCUGAGCACAUGCAGAAACUUCUGGAGACAAAUUAUCCUUCAUAAACUCUGUGAAAUAUGUUCCUCUUAUGCCAAACCUAUCUUUUGAAAGGAAAAAGAACUUUCUGUGUCGGGUAUAUUGUCAGGAUCUCCCUCUUUUCAUUAAUUGGACAUCACUUGAUGUCAAGGAUGUUUGGGUUUUGCUGCUCAACCUCUUAAAGCCCAUUAGUGUCUCUGUCUUUCUUCCCCAGGUCCUGAUUUUCCACACUCUAGUUCUGCUUUCUGACUAUACUGUGGUUAUGUCAUUUGUUUUAGGUGAUCUCAACUCCUUUGGGAAGCACGGUAUAUUUUUAGCAUUUUCAUAGUUACAUUGUGCUCGGUUCCCCAGCAGGCAGAAAUUCUUAUCCCCAUUUCCCAUGAAGAAAACAGUCUGGAGAAUCCAAUAACAGGCUCAGUUUUCAUGGGACAGGUUAAAGGGAGAAUCAGAUGUUAAAGCAAAGUCUAGAAUAUUUUCCUCCUCAUGUGAGUUACUAUUAAGAAUGCAGUUACAAUUCUAAGAAAAAAUAUAAAUAAUUCGUGAGUUCCAUGGCUGACAGAGGCCAAUGGAUGGCAUCCUUGCCGGGCUCACCGAUGAGGUCCCUGUGGCUCAGGGAGAAGUCUGUUGAGUGCAUUGCUCCUCUGUAGGCUGCAGCUUUCCUACCACCUUCACCCUGUGUCCCCAGCUUCUAGAACAGCGCCUGGCAGGCACAAAAUAGGCCGGGGCUGGUAAAUCAUGUUGAGCAAAUGCCCACGAUAAUCAUUUGUGCUUUCCACUUUAAAUAUGUGGCCAGAGAUUCUCAUUCUCCGUGAUGUAAACUCAUGGGAACGUGGAGGCCUCCUAAGGCCAGGCAAGUGGCUGUCUGGGGCCACAGGCUUCGCCCCUCACUGUUUGCGUUCUGUUGUGAUGACCAGAAAGCCUCCUUCUCACAGGGAAGGCCCAGGCCCUGCCCUCCUCAGAGCAGCAUCAAGACGCCCAUGUGGUGGGGCCAGUUUGGAAGCCUCAUCACAAUGUCCACAGGGUCUCUGAACUGGGAAGGAUCAGGAAGACGGUGACUCCCAGACGGCAAGGAUGAGCUCUCUCAAAACUGACUUUGCUGGGUUUGCUGUGGCAGCCUGGAAUGCAGGGUGGUGGUGUUCGGGCUGUAGGCAUUAAGACUGCUGUAAUUGAUUGGUGAUGUCUGCCCUGAGCAGGACUGGGGAGUGGGAGGAUGAGUGUCACAUUGCCAACUCUAACCUGAUCAGCGGCCCUUCAUGGUUAAGGUUAGGGAACUCUCCCCUGGAGAGGUGCCUUCCAGAAGUGUUUAAUUGUUGAAAAUGUUUAAUUGCUAUCCCCGAGGUGCUGAGGAGAUAGCAAUGAACAAAGCGAAGUCCCUCCCUUCUGGAAGCUUGCAUUCUAGUGGGGUGCCCAGUGGCCCUCAAACUUCAGAUCUAUCCAGGGUUUGUUACAAUGCAGGUUUCUGUGUCACAGUUGCUCAGAUAUUCUGAUUCAGCCUGUCUUGGAAGUGUCUGGGCCAUCAUCAUGCUUGCAGUGACCUCAAGUGGUCCUCUAAGGGUCUGAGGGUGGCAACAACAAUGGACAGGAUGCUGGGAGGGGGUUUGAGGGUAGACUGAGGCCAUAUUUGUGGCCAGCCCCCAAUCCCUCCUUACAGUGCUGCAGGCAGCUCCCCCUGGCUGGCUGGUGUUGGGUGGAAAUGGCUUCAGUGCCCUGCCCUACUGAAGCUCAGUGUGGAGCCCUUGUUGGGUUCUCAGCCGAGAAAAAAUGAGAGAAAACAUCCAUGAGCCAGAAAUAGAAAUUGAGAGCAUUAAGCAAAUGGCCAGUUAUCUUUCGGAUGGUACCCAAAUGUACUGUCUGUUUAUCUGCUGCCUUCAGAGCAAGCCGGUGCCUGCCUUUGGGAGCUGACUAGGAGGACGGCUACUCAGAGUAAAGAGGCUUAAUUUUCCUGGCCAGAGCCUAUACUUUUUAGUAUGUUGAUUGAGUGAAGUGUGCCUGCUUUCCUGUAGAGUCAGAGGUAUUUUAUCACAGACAGGAAAAUCCCUGUAUUCCAAACCCUGGUACCCACUGCCUGCACACAGGGUAACGUGCAGAAUUCCACCAAAUGCCCGGACUCCCCCGAAGUUCAGCCCUACCCAGCCGUGAUGCUGUUUCUCUCCUGUAGACAGUCAUUAAACAGUCAUGUUGCAGGGAAGAAGUCCUCUCUUAAGAAGAUGAGCAGCGGAAAAGAGGCUGUAUUAUGCUUGCCACGUCUGCGAGAUGAGGGAGGCGGCGGGUGGGGCAGGAGGCCCAGUGGAGGGUGGCACAGUGGGG
rnacentral:lncRNA from 1 species